rnacentral:rRNA from 1 species
GACGAACGCUGGCGGCGUGCUUAACACAUGCAAGUCGAACGAAGAGCGAUGGAAGCUUGCUUCUAUCAAUCUUAGUGGCGAACGGGUGAGUAACGCGUAAUCAACCUGCCCUUCAGAGGGGGACAACAGUUGGAAACGACUGCUAAUACCGCAUACGAUCUAAUCUCGGCAUCGAGGGUAGAUGAAAGGUGGCCUCUACAUGUAAGCUAUCACUGAAGGAGGGGAUUGCGUCUGAUUAGCUAGUUGGAGGGGUAACGGCCCACCAAGGCGAUGAUCAGUAGCCGGUCUGAGAGGAUGAACGGCCACAUUGGGACUGAGACACGGCCCAGACUCCUACGGGAGGCAGCAGUGGGGAAUCUUCCGCAAUGGACGAAAGUCUGACGGAGCAACGCCGCGUGAGCGAUGACGGCCUUCGGGUUGUAAAGCUCUGUUAAUCGGGACGAAAGGCCUUCUUGCGAAUAGUGAGAAGGAUUGACGGUACCGGAAUAGAAAGCCACGGCUAACUACGUG